AAAAGGCCCAUUUGAUGGAUAGGAUUGGCCUUUUCCACGCCAGACAUCGUGCCAAAGCUUUCCCUACCUGAAACCACUUAACUCUGAAAAAAGAUAUGAUUAUCUCCAUUUUUCAGAGGAGGAAACUGAGGCUCAAUAAAGUGGACUUUUAUGCAAAGAGCACCCAAGGAGGAUUAUAGACAUGAAUCAUUGAAUGAGACCCAGUGUCUGCUCCCAGCACCAUCUGUUGAUAUGCAGAUCACCGAUGAUCAUUGAUCAGGACAAACCAGCUGUGGCUGCUGUGAAGUUAACUCCUGAGACUUGGGAGGCUGGUCUCACUUCUAUAUGGGCACACCUGACCCGAGGCCAUGAACUUUGGCAGGCCAGCAUCAUACCUACCUCACAUAUUCUAGCAACGACAAGCAAAACUAACCAAGCUAACGAAAAUGAGCUUGCUUCCACUUGUUUCUUUCCCUCAGAAAAAGUGGGCGGGGGAUGGUUGACUGAUGGGUUUGUACUUGAUUGAGCUGUUCAAGUCCCUGAUUAGUUCAUACUCCUAAAGAGCUGGGUUCCAUCAUUCUCUAUCAAUUCCUGGCAUUAAAAGAUGAUCCAGGCCGGGCGCGGUGGCUCACGCUUGUAAUCCCAGCACUUUGGGAGGCCGAGGCGGGCGGAUCACGAGGUCAGGAGAUCGAGACCACGGUGAAACCCCGUCUCUACUAAAAAAUACAAAAAAUUAGCCGGGCGCGGUGGCGGGCGCCUGUAGUCCCAGCUACUCGGAGGCUGAGGCAGGAGAAUGGCGUGAACCCGGGAGGCGGAACUUGCAGUGAGCCGAGAUUGCGCCACUGCACUCCAGCCCGGGCGACAGAGCGAGACUCUGUCUCAACAAAAAAAAAAAAAAAAAAAAAAAAAAAAAAAAAGAUGAUCCAGUAAUAUUUUGGUAACUAGUCUUUUCUGUCGGAAAUCAUCACUCAUUGGCCAUUCUAAGUUCUACUCCAAUUGAAAAGCUUGAUCCCACUUUGGGAGGCCAAGGGGGGCGGAUCACUGAAGUCAGGAGUUUGAGACCAGCCUGGCCAACAUGGUGAAACCUGUCUCUACUAAAACUACAAAAAUUAGCCGGGCAUGGUGGUGGAUGUCUGUAAUCUCAGCUACUCAGGAGACUGAGACAGGAUAAUCGCUUGAACCCAGGAGAAGGAGGUUGCAGUGAGCCGAGGUCCCACCACUGCACUCCAGCGUGGGCACCAGAGUGAGACUCCGUCUCAAAAAAUAAAGAAAGAAAAGCUAUCCUAAA